rnacentral:rRNA from 1 species
UACGUAGGGUGCAAGCGUUAAUCGGAAUUACUGGGCGUAAAGCGUGCGCAGGUGGCUUUGCAAGACAGAUGUGAAAUCCCCGGGCUUAACCUGGGAACUGCAUUUGUGACUGCAUGGCUAGAGUGCGGCAGAGGGGGAUGGAAUUCCGCGUGUAGCAGUGAAAUGCGUAGAUAUGCGGAGGAACACCGAUGGCGAAGGCAGGUCUCUGGGCUGACACUGACGCUCAUGCACGAAAGCGUGGGGAGCAAACAGG